rnacentral:tRNA from 4 species
GGUAAGGUGGCCGAGCGGUUAUGGCGUCAGGUUCAAGUUCUGAUGGGGAAACCUUCCAGGGUUCGAAUCCCUGUCUUACCA